UCUCCUACGCUGGGCUAUAAUUUAUGAAACUCAGCCCCGGAUCCAGCCAAUCAUUUAGCUCCUCAUAACAAGUCUAACUGGCUCUGGAAAGCUGAAAGGGCUGCACUAGAACAACAAAAAUGAGAUAGUGCACACAGUAAUCUGCUUAUCUGGAAUCACUUUCCCUCACGAGGCCAGAAAAACAUCACAGCUUCAUUGUCUGAGGGCAGGACAGGUGACCUGAGAAAAUGCAACUACACCUGGAGCAAGACCUUUUCUGACUUGGCAAUCCCAAUCGGCCGGCAUUAAAGGACUGAGCUAACCCUGGAAACCAAAAGGCAAAUGACAGCAGUAAAAACCUCAGUGCUGUUGCCUACGGUGACUAUAUGGGAAUGGAAACUUCUAAGGAAACCAGGGUGUUAAAAUUGUUGUUCCCUUUACUCAAAGAUAACAUGGAUAAUCUAGUCUGAAAUGGAAAUCAAACUCUUAAGGCAUAUCCAGUUGAAUCAACCAUUUAUAUUUCUGCAAAAAUGAUACAGGAAAAUGAUAUCAUCAUUUUUAUUUCUCUUUACUUCAUCAUUAGGACAACUGUGUGCAUAUUGACUGAGUACAGACCUGUGUUCCUGGUAGAUCCUCAGCAAAUGUUUGAAGAGGACCCUGGCCUUCAAGACUCAGCCACCUCCCUGAGCUUUCACAGCCUUUUCUCAAAGGGGACCGAAUAAAAACAGAUUUUUAGACUGGAAUUUUUUCAACCACGCCACUGCCCCAGCUAGUUAUCAAAGGCUUUGCUGAUGGGAAUACUCAUAAAGGGCAACAUAAACACACCCAUGUUUGAGUUGCCAUCUGAAACCAAAGUCAAAUACACUUGUAACAUUCCAUGUGCUGGCCAAUAAACUGCAGUGUUUUCUCAGGGGAAAAAAAAGGUUCUUUUGCUCUCGGAGAUGUGGGACACAGGCAGGGGUUUGGGGGCGCCAGAGUUUCUGCACAAGAAGGGGUUGGUAGCAGGGAGCUGCCAAGAGGAGGAACCUGGGGGACUUGGCCUGGAGCUGUGUCUGCGAGCAGCCUGCCGCUAUGUGCAUGGCAGGUUUACAGGACAGCUUCUCGGGUUUUAUCACUGCUGGAGCUGAUGGGUAAAGCCCUGCAUCGGAGGCAGCCCCUGGCCUCGCUCACUGCAGAGUGAGUGAGUGAAGAGGUGACAGGCCAGGGUGGGGAACAUCUUGGAAAACGAUGAAACUCUACCAUUGGAGUGUCUACUCUGGUACCAGAGUCGCUGGCGACUGUCAAGCUGCUCAGGUCCUGGGAAGCUCCCAGACCCAGGCCACUGAGGAGUUCGAGCCCUUACUGGAGGGACACGAGCCGGUUGUUCGGCACCCACCCUCAGCUUGCUCUACUGUACUCCUAUCCUGUGUUGGGUUUGACCAAAAAAAUGGGUUUUCUGAAAAGAUAUACUAUAAAUGGUACAAAAUUCCAAAGUUAUACCAGAAAAUACUGUCAAAUGUAACAUCCCUGCCCUAUUUUUAUCUCUU